rnacentral:rRNA from 1 species
GACGAACGCUGGCGGCGUGCCUAAUACAUGCAAGUCGAACGAAGCUGUUUUAACUGGUGCUUGCACCGACUUAAACAACUGAGUGGCGAACGGGUGAGUAACACGUGGGUAACCUGCCCCAAAGCGGGGGAUAACAUUUGGAAACAGAUGCUAAUACCGCAUAACCACAGAAACCACAUGGUUUCUGUGUCAAAGAUGGUUUCGGCUAUCACUUUGGGAUGGACCUGCGGCGUAUUAGCUAGUUGGUAAGGUAAUGGCUUACCAAGGCAAUGAUACGUAGCCGAACUGAGAGGUUGAUCGGCCACAUUGGGACUGAGACGCGGCCCAAACUCCUACGGGAGGCAGCAGUAGGGAAUCUUCCACAAUGGACGAAAGUCUGAUGGAGCAACGCCGCGUGAGUGAAGAAGGUUUUCGGAUCGUAAAACUCUGUUGUCAGAGAAGAACGUGUGCGAGAGUAACUGUUCGUGCAGUGACGGUAUCUGGCCAGAAAGCCACGGCUAACUACGUGCCAGCAGCCGCCGUAA